rnacentral:rRNA from 1 species
UACGUAGGGUGCGAGCGUUAAUCGGAAUUACUGGGCGUAAAGUGUGCGCAGGCGGCAGAGCAAGUCGAGUGUGAAAGCCCCGGGCUUAACUUGGGAAUUGCGCUCGAAACUACUUUGCUGGAGUGUGGCAGAGGAAGGUGGAAUUCCAGGUGUAGCGGUGAAAUGCGUAGAUAUCUGGAGGAACACCGGUGGCGAAGGCGGCAUCCUGGACCGGCAUUGACGCUGAGGAGCGAAAGCCAGGGGAGCAAACGGG